CGCCCCAGAUACCAGCCAAGGAGGCUGGAAGGCCAACCAAGCUCCAACCACUGGGCGUCCCAUCGCAGCGUGGCUUUACUGCUAACGUUGGCAUUGCUGUUUGUGCCAGGGGUUCUGUUCAAAACCAAGCUCUUAGAAGAAUUUGGAGGAAAUUAUGACUGCAACCAUGUCUUGAAGCAGCUAACCCUGGAGAGAGAAUGGACCAAGCUAAACAUUAACCAUUGCUGCUGGUAGGCCUCUGACAGCACAAGGUGGUGAGCCUGUCUUUCAGAAACCAGCUAGCUGGGUUCAAAACCAAGCCCAUCAUGUAGAAGCUAUGUGACCUUGAAGAAGUUAAUUAGACUCUCUGAACCUUUGGUUCUUUAUCCACCAAUAAAAAUAAUCUCACCUACCACCCAGGGUUGUAGGUCCAAGUGUAUAAUGUACAAAUGAAUAAAUUAAGACAGUCUUAGUGAUCCAUUGCAUAUAAAACUGAACUAGAGUCCAUAGUUUACGGUGGGGAAGGCUCAGAAGAUAGAGGCAAGAAUGUAGCUGCAGCAUUUUCUUUUUCUUCAUAUCUAGGAGGCAAUUCAGAUGGAAGAUGUGGAGUGUGUGAGGCCUCAGAAGAUGAAUUCGUCCCAGAAAUAGAUAACCUGUCCCCCUGCUUUUGUGGGAAAAGAAUCUCUACACAACUUCAUUCCCUCCAGGCCCCAGAGAAAAGGCACCCUGGCCCCUGCUCCAAGGCCCACUGCCUGCUCUGUCAAGGCAGGGUGGAGAGGGAGUUCCUUAAACACGAAUAACAAGGUAAGGUGGUGCUAUCCCCAGCAAUGAGCACCAGUCUCUCUGUGCCUGCUGCUCACUGCAUGCAAAAAUGCACAUAUCUCAUUGUCUUACCUGCUUCACCCUGUGACAAUGUGAAGCAAUUCUUCCUUCCCUUCCUAAACCCUGGUUUCCCAUUCUAGAAGGUACCACCAGAGCCUUCUCCAGCCCUGCUCCCUGAGCACACCAUUUCUGGGGUAUGCACAAGCCCCUCCUGGGGGUCUCCCACUAGUCCCUGACUCUUUGCCCUUCUGGUUCUCCAACAACCUCUGCAGCUCCAUCUCCAUCACCUCCUCUCUCUCCCAAAACCCAGCCCUUCCCAGUCUGCCUCCAAGGCCCUCAUCUCACUGUACCGCCACCAUCAGCCGCCCACCAUCCUUUCCCCACCGAAACCAAGCUCAUCACUCACGUCUUCUCAGUUGGGGACCUCUGAGCUUCCCUGUCACUCACCCUGGAACUCAUCAUCUUCGCCUCUUCCUCAAUGUCAUUCUCCAUCCAGACCCCCUCCCCCAGGCUCCUGGCACCUCAGGCCCGUCCCACUAGAGCCUGCCUCGCUGCAUUCUGUGUGGGGUGGGUAUUGACCUGAUAUUCUCUGCGGCCCAGGGAAGGAGCGAAUAUUGAAGGAGAGGCCCAGUUGUGUUGGAUCGGGGCUCAGGCUGACUUUAGCCAGUCACCCAAGCACGGCCAUCAGAGUACUAAAGCCCUUCUGUAACUGUUGGGGAU
rnacentral:lncRNA from 10 species